GAUCAUGGCUCAGGACGAACGCUGGCGGCGUGCCUAAUACAUGCAAGUAGAACGCUGAAGAGAGGAGCUUGCUCUUCUUGGAUGAGUUGCGAACGGGUGAGUAACGCGUAGGUAACCUGCCUUGUAGCGGGGGAUAACUACUGGAAACGGUAGCUAAUACCGCAUAACGUCGCAAGACCAAAGAGGGGGGACCUUCGGGCCUCUUGCCAUCGGAUGUGCCCAGAUGGGAUUAGCUAGUAGGUGGGG
rnacentral:rRNA from 1 species